CAGGUAAGGACAGGUAGAGGACAUCUACAGACAGGUAAGGACAGGUAGAGGACAUCUACAGACAGGUAGAGGACGUAUACAGACAGGUAGAGGACGUAUACAGACAGGUAGAGGAGUUCUACAGACAGGUAAGGACAGGUAGAGGACAUCUACAGACAGGUAGAGGACGUAUACAGACAGGUAGAGGACGUAUACAGACAGGUAGAGGAGUUCUACAGACAGGUAAGGACAGGUAGAGGACAUCUACAGACAGGUAGAGGACAUCUACAGACAGGUACAAGAGGUCUACAGACAGGUAGAG